GGGCAUUCCAGUCUUCUCUCCCAGUUACAUCCUCCACGGAAACCACAAAGAUGACGCGCUCAACUUUUCUUAAAGUAAAAAAAAGUAUGCUUGUGUGUGUAUGGGGAGGAGAGGGGGAGUGGACGAGGGAUGGAGGGGAGUGCAAUAAUUCCUGUAGUCCUAAGACAUGCCAGUUGGUAGUUUCUGGUAUUCCAGACACUUCCUAAUGCCAGACAAAUGCCCCAAGCCUCGGCAUGUCUGGCUUAGAGAUCUAUUCAACUGAUAGCAGCCGCCUCUUCUGGGGAGAGCAGAUCUUUCAGAAAGCCCUGGCUGCGCUGCUGAUCAAACACGACAUUGUUCUCGGAAAGGAGGAAGAAUGGAAAGGUUUGUUUCAAAGUCACAACUUUAUUUUUUUAAAGAGGCACCCAAGUUGUUUUAAGACGUUGCUUCAAAACUUGGGUUUCCUGAGUGGAGGCUGUUUUGCACAGUGCAUCUACUGUAUAAAAAUCCAGGCAGGGAGGGAUCAGAAAGUUAGAGUCAUUACAGAAAAAAAAAAAAAAAAAAAAAAGCCCCAGGCACUUGAUGCCUGGAAAUGAUGUCAGACAGCAGCCACUCCUCUGUUAGAACUACAACCAAACAAUGCGCAGGCAAUCCACAGCGGCUGCCCUGCAAAUGUCAGCGCCAGCUCAGUCUAAAGAGCUUGAAACCUACCAAGCCGAAGGACUGUGCUGUGCCUCUCUCGCCCACAUUUUCCCCAAGCACUCUCAGGAACCUGGCAACAGGUAACGUGGCAACCUUUAACUUAUAAAAGGGCAAGUGGCACAAUUUCAGGGAACAAAUGGACUUUUUUCUUUUAAGCCAGCAUCUUCCCCACCACUCCCACACCUCCCUCCCUCCCUCCCAACCAAAAGUCAGUGGAGAAACAAAGCAUUGCCGCGGGCAGUCCUACUCUCGAGUGUCCCCUUGUGGCCAAACCUGGACAUCACUUCCGUAUUUUGCAAGCUGCGGCUCAGCUAAGAGGGAUGAAUGCCGUCCACACAAAAGAGCUCCUGUUGACAUCUCAUUUACAAUCUCCCCCAGGACACAGACAAGACCCUUUCAAUAAACCCGGCUCAGAAACACCUAUUGUUCAAAAUCUUCAACUCGCCACAGGCUACCACCACUCCCUAUGGCUUUGCAAAAUUAAAGAUUUAGAAGAAGGAUGAGGACUGUAGAAGCUCUGAAAAGAGGCAGGAAUAAAGUCCCUUUGACCUGGUGCCGUCAGAGCGUGCAUGAAGAAGAAAGUUAAUGGUAUUUCCAUUUAUAUAAGAAGUGCCUAAGAAAUGCCUGUGACGUUCGUGAAGUAGUGAUUGUGAAUGCCAAAUUUGGUGCCACCUUUAUGUGUAAGGAAGCUAACUCCUGCCAGCAUCAUUGCUGAAUGACCCGUUCCCAGCUUACAAAAGCCCGGCAGCUGCAGCAAAGCACCAGGUGAGUCUGAUAAGGGCUGUCUGUUUCCCUGGGGAUUUCAAGCUUGCCCGUCCUUUCCACGUGUUAUCUUGUGUCUAAGUGCUGGAGCCCACUCCUCUCCACUGAUUCCCUCCUUUCCAUUUCUGCCAUUUCCCUUCUUUUAAUAAAACUUGAACAUUU